UGGAAACGUGCCACCCACAGGUCUUGCUCUACUCCAGAAAACCAUCACUUUGAGCUCCUUCAACCCCACCUGCGUUGGGCACUGCCCAUUCUUUGUACCCUGCGAUGGCCCCCGUGUCACACGUGGCACUUGUGAAGACUUCUUGACAUAACCGUCUUUCUUCUGAGACCUUGAGCACCCCCUGGACUGCUGGGGUUUGAUUCCUCUUGCGAAUAAAUAAAGUAGGACUUUGUGAAGAUGUUGCUCAAGCCACGUCUGAUGCUCUACGUCAAUUGAUUGUCAUUGGCCUGUUGAGAGGCCGUCUUCAGGAAACCAUUUGCACUCUAUUGGAUUGGGGAAAUGAUGUCCAACCUAAAUCAAGAGUUAACUAUGGAGAAGGAAACCAUUAUUAAACUCUAAGAAGAAUUAUGCCAAAACAAAGAACUCUACAACUUUAAGAGACUUCCCCUAAAGGUAACUGUCUCUCAUUUUAUUUUUUUUCCCCCUAAAGGUAAUAUUAGUGGCCAUGCUC
rnacentral:lncRNA from 1 species